CAGCCACAUUUAUAAUGACACAAUUUAUAAUGUAUAAUCUUGGAAGUAGCUCACAGGCCCAUCAACUGAUGAAUGGUGAAAAAAAUGUCGGUAAAUGGACGUACCUAGAGACUAUCACGUUAAAGUGAAAUAAACACGUUUAAAUAUUGCUUGGCUUCUCUUCUAUGAGAAACAAAGAUUACAUACAAAAUACAAAGAGCAAAAUAAAAGCAAGAUAAUAGGAAGUAGGGUGGUCUCAAAUGGGGAAGAGAAAAAGAUACGGAGGGUGGGGAGGGGAAGGGGAUUUUUAAAAACGAAAAUUGAAGAAAAAAUGGAAGUGGAGCUUUUGCAAAUGGGAAGAGGAACAACAGUUGAAGGGAGCAGGGGGGCUGGGAGGGGAAGGGGACAGAGAAAGAGAGCUGUGUCAUGUUCACGCCAUGAUGAGUGUAACCACUCUGUGUACUGCAAAUGCACAGAAGGAAGGGGGAAAGAAAGAAGGACAGAGAUCUCAGGGCUGGGUCUCGGGCAGAGUGGGAAGAAGUUCCUUGGCGAGCCAGCAGAGAAGUGGCAUUGCGAGCUGGUGGUGGUCCGCUGUCAGGGUGGGGACACACGGGCUGCAGGGGCUUCCUGGAGGAAGGGGCUUCACCAGCGUCCUGUUCGCAGGGCCUCCAUCAGUGCCACUCAAGAGCCCGCAGGAUGCAAGCAGGAGAUCCCGCUCACGCUGCCCAGAUCCGGGCUUCUCUUCUGUGUUCCGGGGCAGAAGUGCUCCAGCUCCACGCCCGCCCCAUCCACCACCGGAGACCCGCCCUGGCCCUCUCGUCAGCUGGGCACCUGCUCUGUCUGGCCUCAGCAGCUCUGAGCUCGCACACAGACCUACCUGAAAGCAGCUUCACACCCUGACUUGUCUCCAGAGGACAGCACA
rnacentral:lncRNA from 1 species